rnacentral:rRNA from 1 species
UUCAGACGAUGCGUCAUGCAUAUCAAUAAGCGGAGGAAAAGAAACUAACAAGGAUCCCCCUAGUAACGGCGAGUGAAGCGGGAAGAGCUCAAAUUUGAAAUCUUAAAGGGUUUCCCUUUACGAAUUGUAGUUUAAAGAAGUGUUUUCUGUUGAGGUUUUGGUAAAAGUUCUUUGGAAUAGGACAUCAUAGAGGGUGAGAAUCCCGUAUUUGACCUUUACUUUCAACUUUGUGAUACACUUUCAAAGAGUCGGAUUGUUUGGGAAUGCAGUCCAAAAUGGGUGGUAAAUUUCAUCUAAAGCUAAAUAUUGGCGAGAGACCGAUAGCGAACAAGUACCGUGAGGGAAAGAUGAAAAGAACUUUGAAAAGAGAGUUAAACAGUACGUGAAAUUGUCAAAAGGGAAGCGUUUGACACCAGUGUUGUUUUUCUGAAAAUCAAUUAAAGAACUGUUUAUGCUAAGUUGUUUAGACUUUAUCAGCUAUCUGUUUAGUUUUGAGCUUUUCUUUAAUGCACUUUUCAGUUAACAAGUCAACAUCAAUUUCUUUUGCUGUAAAAAAGCUUGAGGAAGGUGGCUUGAGAUUCGUCUUAAGUGUUUAUAGCCUCUUGCCUAUGCAGUCGGAGAGAUUGAGGUCUGCAGCGUAGAUCCUUCGGGGCUAAAUGCAUUUGUGCUAAGUUAUAGCAUUUUAUAGACAACUUGUUGACUAUGAUUUGUCUUGUAGCUUACUCGCUUAUGUUAUUUUACCUACGCUUAGGAUGUUGACACACGCGCGUGCUCG